rnacentral:rRNA from 1 species
CAAGCGUUNUCCGGAUUUAUUGGGCGUAAAGCGAGCGCAGGCGGUUCCUUAAGUNUGAUGUGAAAGCCCCCGGCUCAACCGGGGAGGGUCAUUGGAAACUGGGGAACUNGAGUGCAGAAGAGGAGAGUGGAAUUCCAUGUGUAGCGGUGAAAUGCGUAGAUAUAUGGAGGAACACCAGUGGCGAAGGCGACUCUNUGGUCUGUAACUGACGCUGAGGCUCGAAAGCGUGGGUAGCAAACAGGAUUAGAUACCCUGGUAGUNCACGCCGUAAACGAUGAGUGCUAAGUGUUGGAGGGUUUCCGCCCUUCAGUGCUGCAGUUAACGCAUUAAGCACUCCGCCUGGGGAGUACGACCGCAAGGUUGAAGCUCAAAGGAAUUGACGGGGACCCGCACAAGCGGUGGAGCAUGUGGUUUAAUUCGAAGCAACGCGAAGAACCUUACCAAGUCUUGACAUCCUUUGACCACUCUAGAGAUAGAGCUUUCCCUUCGGGGACAAAGUGACAGGUGGUGCAUGGUUGUCGUCAGCUCGUGUCGUGAGAUGUUGGGUUAAGUCCCGCAACGAGCGCAACCCUUAUUACUAGUUGCCAGCAUUCAGUUGGGCACUCUAGUGAGACUGCCGGUGACAAACCGGAGGAAGGUGGGGAUGACGUCAAAUCAUCAUGCCCCUUAUGACUUGGGCUACACACGUGCUACAAUGGAUGGUACAACGAGCAGCGAACUCGCGAGGGUAAGCGAAUCUCUUAAAGCCAUUCUCAGUUCGGAUUGUAGGCUGCAACUCGCCUACAUGAAGCCGGAAUCGCUAGUAAUCGCGGAUCAGCACGCCGCGGUGAAUGCGUUCCCGGGUCUUGUACACGCCGCCCGUCACACCACGAGAGUUUGUAACACCCAAAGUCGGUGAGGUAACCGUUUGGAGCCAGCCGCCUAAGGUGGGAUAGAU